CGCACCUCUGCUUCGGCUUUGCUGAGCAGGUCGUGGGCGCGCCCUUCGUGAGAUGGGCGCCCCUAACGUAGCACGCUUGCGGGCUCCCACACAGAUGUCAACGUAGUAAACUUAAACGCUCGAUGCAAUCUUGUGGAGGCUCUGCCUGAACAAACCUUCUUGA
rnacentral:misc_RNA from 1 species